rnacentral:rRNA from 1 species
GGAUGAACGCUGGCGGCGUGCCUAACACAUGCAAGUCGAACGGAGUCCAGCCUUAGAGACCUUCGGGUCAAAGAGGGGAAGACUGAGUGGCGGACGGGUGAGUAACACGUGGGCAACCUGGCUCAUAGAGGGGGAUAACAGAGAGAAAUUUCUGCUAAUACCGCAUAAGCACACACUGCCGCAUGGCAGAGUGUGAAAAGAGAAUCGCUAUGAGAUGGACCCGCGUCUGAUUAGCCAGUUGGCAGGGUAAGAGCCUACCAAAGCGACGAUCAGUAGCCGAUUUGAGAGGAUGAACGGCCACAUUGGGACUGAGACACGGCCCAAACUCCUACGGGAGGCAGCAGUGGGGGAUAUUGCACAAUGGGGGGAACCCUGAUGCAGCGACGCCGCGUGAGUGAAGAAGUAUUUCGGUAUGUAAAGCUCUAUCAGCAGGGAAGAUAAUGACAGUACCUGAAUAAGAAGCCCCGGCUAACUACGUG